CCUACGGGAGGCAGCAGUGAGGAAUAUUGGUCAAUGGGCGCGAGCCUGAACCAGCCAAGCCGCGUGAAGGAUGAAUGCCCUACGGGUUGUAAACUUCUUUUAUAAGGGAAUAAAGUGAGGCACGUGUGCCUUUUUGUGUGUACUUUAUGAAAAAGGAUCGGCUAACUCCGUGCCAGCAGCCGCGGUAAUACGGAGGAUUCGAGCGUUAUCCGGAUUUAUUGGGUUUAAAGGGUGCGGAGAUGGGUUGUUAAGUCAGUUGUGAAAGUUUGCGGCUCAACCGUAAAAUUGCAAUUGAUACUGGCAGUCUUGAGUACAGGUGAGGUAGGCGGAAUGCGUGGUGUAGCGGUGAAAUGCUUAGAUAUCACGAAGAACUCCGAUUGCGAAGGCAGCUUACU
rnacentral:rRNA from 1 species